CUGAAUUGCAUUGGACUGAUUUAAUAUAAUGUUUCAUAAACAUAUAUGGGAAGCCCACCACUAGAUUGGAAAGGAGCUAGGGAUCUCCAGUACAUCAAGUAGUGUUUUUUGUGAACUCUGCAACCUGAGUCGAUUAUGCAAAGAACAGCAACUUCAUGGAUAUAGAAGACUCUGCAAUUCUGGGUAACAUAGUCAUGCCAGAAAUGAACCACAGGUCAUCUCAUGCCAUCUUGGCAGUCCCAGAUCUGGCGUGCCUAGAAGAGUGCCUGGCAGGAAACAGGCAUUCAGUAAACACGUGCUCAGUGAAUGAAGAUCCUGUUCAUCCACAGGAAGAUCCUGAGGAGUGCGAUGCAAGGCCCACAGGUUACUGGCUAAUAUGACAGG